rnacentral:rRNA from 1 species
GAUGAACGCUGGCGGCGUGCCUAAUACAUGCAAGUCGAGCGAACGGACGAGAAGCUUGCUUCUCUGAUGUUAGCGGCGGACGGGUGAGUAACACGUGGAUAACCUACCUAUAAGACUGGGAUAACUUCGGGAAACCGGAGCUAAUACCGGAUAAUAUUUUGAACCGCAUGGUUCAAAAGUGAAAGACGGUCUUGCUGUCACUUAUAGAUGGAUCCGCGCUGCAUUAGCUAGUUGGUAAGGUAACGGCUUACCAAGGCAACGAUGCAUAGCCGACCUGAGAGGGUGAUCGGCCACACUGGAACUGAGACACGGUCCAGACUCCUACGGGAGGCAGCAGUAGGGAAUCUUCCGCAAUGGGCGAAAGCCUGACGGAGCAACGCCGCGUGAGUGAUGAAGGUCUUCGGAUCGUAAAACUCUGUUAUUAGGGAAGAACAUAUGUGUAAGUAACUGUGCACAUCUUGACGGUACCUAAUCAGAAAGCCACGGCUAACUACGUGCCAGCAGCCGCGGUAAUACGUAGGUGGCAAGCGUUAUCCGGAAUUAUUGGGCGUAAAGCGCGCGUAGGCGGUUUUUUAAGUCUGAUGUGAAAGCCCACGGCUCAACCGUGGAGGGUCAUUGGAAACUGGAAAACUUGAGUGCAGAAGAGGAAAGUGGAAUUCCAUGUGUAGCGGUGAAAUGCGCAGAGAUAUGGAGGAACACCAGUGGCGAAGGCGACUUUCUGGUCUGUAACUGACGCUGAUGUGCGAAAGCGUGGGGAUCAAACAGGAUUAGAUACCCUGGUAGUCCACGCCGUAAACGAUGAGUGCUAAGUGUUAGGGGGUUUCCGCCCCUUAGUGCUGCAGCUAACGCAUUAAGCACUCCGCCUGGGGAGUACGACCGCAAGGUUGAAACUCAAAGGAAUUGACGGGGACCCGCACAAGCGGUGGAGCAUGUGGUUUAAUUCGAAGCAACGCGAAGAACCUUACCAAAUCUUGACAGCCUUUGACAACUCUAGAGAUAGAGCCUUCCCCUUCGGGGGACAAAGUGACAGGUGGUGCAUGGUUGUCGUCAGCUCGUGUCGUGAGAUGUUGGGUUAAGUCCCGCAACGAGCGCAACCCUUAAGCUUAGUUGCCAUCAUUAAGUUGGGCACUCUAAGUUGACUGCCGGUGACAAACCGGAGGAAGGUGGGGAUGACGUCAAAUCAUCAUGCCCCUUAUGAUUUGGGCUACACACGUGCUACAAUGGACAAUACAAAGGGCAGCGAAACCGCGAGGUCAAGCAAAUCCCAUAAAGUUGUUCUCAGUUCGGAUUGUAGUCUGCAACUCGACUACAUGAAGCUGGAAUCGCUAGUAAUCGUAGAUCAGCAUGCUACGGUGAAUACGUUCCCGGGUCU